rnacentral:rRNA from 1 species
AAGUCCCGUAACGAGCGCAACCCUUGUCCUUAGUUACCAGCACGUUAUGGUGGGCACUCUAAGGAGACUGACCGGUGACAAACCGGAGGAAGGUGGGGAUGACGUCAAGUCAUCAUGGCCCUUACGGCCUGGGCUACACACGUGCUACAAUGGUCGGUACAAAGGGUUGCCAAGCCGCGAGGUGGAGCUAAUCCCAUAAAACCGAUCGUAGUCCGGAUCGCAGUCUGCAACUCGACUGCGUGAAGUCGGAAUCGCUAGUAAUCGUGAAUCAGAAUGUCACGGUGAAUACGUUCCCGGGCCUU